AAGCGUGGCUGUAGUCGGAGUUGCCCGAGAUAUCAAGGGGAUGUGCCCAGAGGGCGCCCUUCCUUCAGAGGCCUCGUUUGCCCGACACUUACGACAGGCCUUAGGACGUAAGGCGUGGACGUGCGUGACGUCACCCUCUGGCCUGCGAGAUGGCGAGGGCAAGUAGCGGGGCCGAUGCUCCCUUGGGAUCCGGGUGUGGCUCGGCUCAGGUAACGCCCGGCCCUAGGACUCCUUCGGCCUCCGCCCACGGGGAGUGCUGAGACUGCCGGCCGGUGUGCUGGCGACCUUUACCCAGGCUUGGUCAAGGCUUCCUGGCUGGCGCAACUGCACUGGCCUCGCAGUGGACGCCUGCUGGUGACCUUUACUCUGUUAAACCAUCUUCCUGCUCUCCCAGUGAGAGCCUCAAAGCUGGGGAAGGUGUACAGUGUUAAUGCAUGCAUAUUUCACAAUGAAUGAAGAACAGAAACCCAAAAUUUUAACUCAGGUCCCGGCUGAUCCCGGGAGUGGGCAGGAAAUGAACAAGAUGGCCCAGAACUAUCUCAUGUGUCAGGAAGGGAGUACGUGAUAAAAGUAACACUGCCCAGGGCCCACCGCGCUGUGGGAGACAUUAACAGAAUACAGGGACAGAUUCAAGGAGCAGCUUACAGCCAGUGCAAGACACAAAGGUAAAGCAGCCUUGCCCAGGACUUACAAAGAGUCGUUUCCAUACACGUCGCUCUUCUUGUUCUGUGUCAUAUAGUAAUACUGCUCAAUGGGGAGCUUUCUGAAAAGACAGCACAGUAAACUCAGUGUAGUUCUACAAAAGGACGGCACAUCCAUGAGACAGCGAAGGACGAACAGGGGAACACAGCCAUAACUAUACAGAGCUUCUACAGAGAGCAUACAAAAGGGAAUGGAUGAACUGGGAGAUGUCUGACUCGACUUAGAAUUUCUGAAGCAUGCACACUAUGGCUAAGUCUGCAAUGUCUCAAAGGCUCCUGGGAAGAGCGACAGCUUCCAUCUUACAGACUUAGCAGCACAGCUGAGGGAUUCUCUGAGAGUGGAGCCUUGAAGGUCUGUUGAACAAGUGUUCAAACUUGAGAUCCUUACUAUCUGUGAUGUGUCUGAAUCUUCCUGUUUGGUCUCUGUGGGAUCUUGCUUUUGAUCUGUUGCGCAUAAAACAAAUCCUACAGACUUCCACUGACUUCACAACGGGAAGCACAGAACCCGCUUUUCUGUUCGUAUCUUUCUAUAAGCCAUAAAAGGAGUCUAGAAGCAGACACACUGACAGAGAACCAACAGUAAGAAUGAGAAAUGGUCGUGUGAACGUUUCAGACUGAAAAGCCAGAAAAAACAGGUAGAAGUUACAAGAAAGAAAAAGUCUUUUUAGAAACACCACAAAGAAAAUGAUCAACAAUCAAGAACAGACAAAAGCAGAAUGGAUUGGCUGUGUGGAAGGUUUUUGUUUUAUGAGUGUGUGUAUAUGCAUGACUGUAUGUAUGGUACACGUGUGUGCAGUUGCCCUAGGAGGCCAGGAGAGGGCACUGCAUCUUCAGGAACUGGAAUUACUGGUGGUUGCAAGCUGCCUAAUGUAGGAUAUGGGAGCCAGACUCACAUCUUGAGAACCAAACUUGUGUCCGUAGGAAGAACAGCAAGUGCUCUUAACAGAUGAAGUAUCUUUCCAGCCCUACUUUGGAAGUGUUUAAACUGAGAUAAGGUGGCUUUCUGUCUUAAUUCCCUAAGAAUAAAGAAAAAAGUUUGUUGUAUGUGUUUCUACGCAGAUUGUGAAGCCAGAAGUUGACAUUAAACAUCUUCCUUGACCGGAUCAAAUUCACAUCUUCAGGCUUGUGUGAUCAGCACUGUGCCAGCUGAGACAUCUAUCUACCUAUCCUCGUCUACAAAGAAUUAGCUUGGCAAUUUUAUAAGCUGGAAGCUUGGCAAUUUUAUAAGCUGGAUUCCAGAAAAUCAAAUAUGCCCAUUAAAAGAUGGGGUACAGAGCUAAACAAAGAAUUCUCAACUGAAGAAAACCGGUAUGGCUGAGAAGCACCUGAAAAAAAAAAUGUUCAACUUCUGUAG
rnacentral:lncRNA from 1 species